UCCCUGGUGGCUCAGAGGUUAAAGUGUCUGCCUCCAAUGCAGAAGUCCCAGGUUCAAUUCCUGAGUCGGGGAG
rnacentral:tRNA from 2 species